CACGUGUGCGCCGCUCUGUGGUGGGGGCGUAAGGAGUAAGGGGCGGAGCUUGCCCGGCGUUUCGCGGCGCACCCGGAGCCUGAGGAUUCCCGGGCGUUGUUAUGUGUCAAAUAUAUCCAGGUGACUUGGAAUUUUUAAAAUAUUUUCCUGGGGCUGGUGUUGAGGCAUAACAGAAGUCUGGACAGUUGCAGUUGCUGUUUCUGCCCUACUCCUCCUCUAGCUGGAAAAGGAAGAUAAUAUUCAUCUGUAAUUAAAGUCUGUGAGCAUGGUUGCUAACUUCUUCCAAACUUGGAGGUGCUGGAGCCCAAGAACUUGAGCCAUCCUCCACUGCCUUCCUGGGCCACAGCAGAGAGCUGGACUGGAAGAGGAGCAACCGGGACUAGAGCCUGGCGCCCAUAUAAGAUGCCGGCACCACAGGCAGAGGGUUAACCAAGUGAGCCACGGCGCUGGCCCAAUACCAGGGUCUUUUGCUUCAUGUCAUGUCUCUGGCCUCCACUGUAUUUACACACACUGGCUUCCUAGCCAUUGCUCACAGGGGGCCAAACUAUUUCCCAUCUCAGAUCUUUAUAUGUCUGCCUAGAACAUGUUUUCCUUCAUCUCUUCUCAUGACUGUCUCUUUCAGAUGUGUCACCUUCUCAAACACUGAUGUAAUCUAGAAUAGAUUAAUUUUCUUCGGUCUUUGUCAUAACAACCUGAUAGUUUCUCUUACAAAACUGUUCAAAAUUUAAUUUUUCUGAUUGUUCAAAAUUUCUUCCCCAUUGAAAGAUGGCUGAUCAUGUUUUGUUAACUAUUUUAUACCCAAUGCCUAUGGUAGUGCCUAGCACAAAGGUCACAUUUAACCAAUACUUACCAGUUAAUACUGUGUUUGAAUUUUAAGGCAAUAGUUCUUUUAUACACCUGUCUUGGUUCCUCAUUUAUACCCUAACAGCUUUAAGGAAAGAGUUAACAUCUUAAACCUCUUGAUCAAAGAUUAUAAAAAUUGACCCAUUAGUAAAUUAUUAAAUGAUAUGACUUAUGCCUUUCUUUAUUUUUGCAUUUUUAUUUUCAAAAGUGCAGUCCUUUUGCAUGCUCUUUUAAAUCUGUAUUUCAUUACAGUGCUUGACAUUUUUGGUAACCCUUAAAAAUUAAUUUAACUGGCAGGAAACAGCUAUGUUUUACAGCUUGAAUCUCAAAUAUUUUGGGGAACCUUUUUGAAAGGAAAAGAUAACAAAUACAAAUUAGGUAUUAGUUUUUGGAGAAGGCCUGUGAAAAUGAAAGGAGUAUAAAACUUAUUCUUUGUUUAGCUCUGCUAUGAAUAGGCCUUUGUUAACGACUAACAUCCUGAUUGCAGCUCAUUUUUGCUUGCACUUGUGUCCAGCAUUUGCAAGGUGUAGCUUCUCAAAUCAUCUCACAGAUUAUCCUGUCUGACCCCAACGCAGCCCCGCCCUUUCCUCCACACUCCCGUCACUACUGUUUACUGCAUGCAACUAAAGGCCAGCUGAGUGUCAGUGUGAGAACCCAGCCUCACCACAACAGCUGGUAAUGUUCUGAUACUAAUCCCAUGAUGUCAGUACUUACGUUGGCAUUACUCUGACUUAUUAGCCUUAAAAUCUAUUCUUUGUCUCUUUCAAAAAUUUUGCCUAAAGCCUAAAAGCCAAGUUUGCCUUUUUUUCCCCUCUCCUUUAAUUGUCACUCUUCGUCGGGAAUUGGCAUUUAUUUUGUUAGCAACAGUAACUUUUUUUCUCAUCUUUUUCCCCUCACAACACUUGAAUUUUUAAAGAGUAAGGGGAAGACAAAUGCAUAGUAGCUACUGUACUAUCCAUUUGACUUUCAUUUCACAAUUACUCUAUUUCAAUACUUGAAGGCAGUUUCAGUUUUACUGAUGAACCAAUAAAGUUAAGGGGGAAAAUGGGAAUAUACUAAACAUGUCACUGAGAAUUAGAGUUUUUCAAGUAAAAUGGCCUUGCAGCAGUAGAAAGGCAGCCCUGUGCCCUAUUGCCUGUAUUUUAGGCCAUGCAUUAUUGGCUUUCACUGUGAGUUGGAGUUCAGUGGGUCUGGACAUGAUCUGCCAGCUGUGAGGCAAUGUUUAGGUUAAAAGACCUGUCUCAGAGAUUGGGAAUGCUGAAACCCAGGCAAAGAAAAUAAAUGUCUGAGGGACAUUAACUUAUAGAGAGCAUAUUUAUCCCAUAUGAAUACCUUGCUUGCCUAGAAAAACACGGAUAUUUAACCUCUGAGGCAGCUAUUGAAGCAAAGAGGAAUAGGAGUGAUGACAAUAAAAGGGAGAAGGGAGAGGAAUGAUCGGGGUACCUAAAGGAUUGGGAAUUUUUUUGAGGAGUCCCAGGCAAGAAACCACACACUGGGUUGUUAAUGUAUUAUACAUUUAGUAAGCACCUAAUAUGUACCAGGUAGCAUUCUCAACAAUAGAAAUAUGGAUAAGGUGGUUCCUGACUUGAAGGAACAUACAAUGUAAUAGGAGAAAGACAUACUUAAAAGUGUUCUAUAUUAGUGGUUUAGAUGAUAUAAUGGUCAUACAAAGGAGUAAGUGAAUUUUGGUUGGGAAUCUGGAAGAUAUCACAGAAGAGAAACCCUGUACUACAAGUGGCAAACACUGUUGAUUGCUUACUUUGAGCAGACCCAACACAGAUUUGGGUGUGAUCCCAGGAAGCACUGUCAGUCAGAACUUGAAAUUCAAUAAAUCCAUAGCAGAGUAAUUUUUAAGGUUAUAAUUUCAUAUGUCCCGCAAGUGAUGUUUUAAAUAUCCAAAUGGUCUUUAGUAGAAAAAAGGUUCCCCCACCUUGGUGGACAUGACUCAGAAAUGUGCCAUUAAAGAUGAAACCAGCAUUUACUCUCUGCCUCUUGUUUCAUUGGUUGGGAAUCUUUUUGAGGGGAGAGAGAGAGAGAGAUCUUCCAUCUACUGGUUCACUCCCCAAUUGUCUGCAACGGCUGGAUCUGCGCCGAUCUGA